rnacentral:rRNA from 1 species
AGAGUUUGAUCCUGGCUCAGGAUGAACGCUAGCUACAGGCUUAACACAUGCAAGUCGAGGGGCAGCAUGAUCUUAGCUUGCUAAGAUUGAUGGCGACCGGCGCACGGGUGCGUAACGCGUAUCCAACCUGCCGUGUACUCCGGGAUAGCCCUCUGAAAGGAGGAUUAAUACCGGAUGUGGUCGGGUGAAGACAUCUUUUCCCGAUUAAAGAUUUAUCGGUACACCGAUGGGGAUGCGUACGAUUAGGUAGUCGGCGGGGUAACGGCCCACCGAGCCUUCGAUCGUUAGGGGUUCUGAGAGGAAGGUCCCCCACAUAGGAACUGAGACACGGUCCUAACUCCUACGGGAGGCAGCAGUGAGGAAUAUUGGUCAAUGGGCGAGAGCCUGAACCAGCCAAGUAGCGUGAAGGAAGACUGCCCUAUGGGUUGUAAACUUCUUUUAUAGGGGAAUAAAGUGCGUCACGUGUGGCGUUUUGUAUGUACCCUAUGAAUAAGCAUCGGCUAAUUCCGUGCCAGCAGCCGCGGUAAUACGGAAGAUGCGAGCGUUAUCCGGAUUUAUUGGGUUUAAAGGGAGCGUAGGCGGACGCUUAAGCCUGCGGUCAAAUGUCAGCGCCCAACGCUGGCCUGCCGUGGGAACUGGGUGUCUUGAAUGUGCACAAGGAAGGUGGAAUUCGUGGUGUAGCGGUGAAAUGCUUAGAUAUCACGAAGAACUCCGAUUGCGAAGGCAGCCUUCUGGGGCAUGAUUGACGCUGAGGCUCGAAAGCGCGGGAAUCAAACAGGAUUAGAUACCCUGGUAGUCCGCGCCGUAAACGAUGAGUGCCCGCUUUUGGCGAUAUACUGUCAGAGGCUGAGCGAAAGCAUUAAGCACUCCACCUGGGGAGUACGCCGGCAACGGUGAAACUCAAAGGAAUUGACGGGGGCCCGCACAAGCGGAGGAACAUGUGGUUUAAUUCGAUGAUACGCGAGGAACCUUACCCGGGCUUGAAUUGCACAGGACGGGGUGCAGAGACGCACCCUUUCUUUGGACCUGUGUGAAGGUGCUGCAUGGUUGUCGUCAGCUCGUGCCGUGAGGUGUCGGCUUAAGUGCCAUAACGAGCGCAACCCCUUCGUGUAGUUGCCAUCAGGUGAUGCUGGGCACUCUGCACGUACUGCCAUCGCAAGAUGUGAGGAAGGUGGGGAUGACGUCAAAUCAGCACGGCCCUUACGUCCGGGGCUACACACGUGUUACAAUGGGGGGCACAGAGAGCUGCUGGCCGGCGACGGUUGGCUAAUCUACAAAUCCCCUCUCAGUUCGGAUCGGAGUCUGCAACCCGACUCCGUGAAGCUGGAUUCGCUAGUAAUCGCGCAUCAGCCAUGGCGCGGUGAAUACGUUCCCGGGCCUUGUACACACCGCCCGUCAAGCCAUGAAAGCCGGGGGUGCCUGAAGACUGGGAUGACCGGUCUAGGGUAAAACUGGUGAUUGGGGCUAAGUCGUAACAAGGUAGCCGUACCGGAAGGUGCGGCUGGAACACCUCCUU